rnacentral:tRNA from 1 species
GGCGGCGUGGCCAAGUGGUAAGGCAGGGGCCUGCAAAGCCCUUAUUCCCCGGUUCGAAUCCGGGCGCCGCCUCCA